UACGGAGGGAGCUAGCGUUAUUCGGAAUUACUGGGCGUAAAGCGCACGUAGGCGGCUUUGUAAGUUAGAGGUGAAAGCCUGGAGCUCAACUCCAGAACUGCCUUUGAUACUGAGAAGCUUGAGUCCGGGAGAGGUGAGUGGAACUGCGAGUGUAGAGGUGAAAUUCGUAGAUAUUCGCAAGAACACCAGUGGCGAAGGCGGCUCACUGGCCCGGUACUGACGCUGAGGUGCGAAAGCGUGGGGAGCAAACAGGAU
rnacentral:rRNA from 1 species